rnacentral:rRNA from 1 species
UUCGGAUUGUAGUCUGCAACUCGGCUGCAUGAAGCUGGAAUCGCUAGUAAUCGCGAAUCAGAAUGUCGCGGUGAAUACGUUCCCGGGUCUUGUACACACCGCCCGUCACACCAUGGGAGUUGGAAAUGCCCGAAGUCAGUGACCUAACCGCAAGGAGGGAGCUGCCGAAGGCAGGUCUGAUAACUGGGGUGAAGUCGUAACAAGGUAAC